UAGCUGGUCAAGCUCCGGUGUCCUCACGUCAGGCUUGGCUUUGAGUGCUGACAGCAAAGCAUUCUACAUGUUGAUGGUGUCUUCAGCCAAAUUGCUGAUCUAUCCGAUGACAACGGGGAAGCUGCAGCCGACUCCAGAGAGGACGAUGACCACAACAUAGAGCCAUAGAGGUUGUGGCAGAGCUUGAUCCCGACGCAAACCAUCUGCUUGGCGAGGCGGAGCAGCCUGUUCUGUAAGAAUAUGACGAGUUUGUGAUGGUUUGGAAAACUGACGAAGAUUCAGAGGGUAAAGAAGAAGUGGCAAGCCACAAGCGUCCUCGCCUGUGCUAGACGCUAAAUCGAGUCAAUGGACCAGUUGACUAGAACUAAAAAUUAAGUGCGUGUAUUUUGUGUUUACGCCUCCGUGUAUUUUGCUGGAAUCUUAGUGUGUGUCCAUUGCUGGGAGGAACUGUCUCUAAAUUAGUUGUUAUUUUUUUGAGAAGAGAUUAGUUGUUAUUAUUGUAGAGUAGUAGCCGACGUGAGUGUGGACUAAUGUUUAAUUAUAUGAGAUUACCCCAAAAUGCCUGAUGUUGUUAAGCUGCAAAAUGCACCUUGUACUUGGUCUAGCUGUAUCGAUGGAGAUGGUGGUGGGGGCAGCUAGACUACCCAUGGGCGGCUCGGUUUUGGCCCAACGUACCAGCGACGGCGUUAACGAGCCAGCGCAUUUCUGGUACUGUUGCGUGGGCCACGGGUACUGUUUUUAUAUUAGAAAUACGAAACCAAAUACCAGGCAAGGCCCAAAUAACGAGGCAUGUGUGUGGUCCAGAUGCUCCAGGAGCAGAAUUGCAUUUCCGCAAAAUGCUUCCUUAUAUUGUUUGCAAACACAUCAACGGCUCCUCGGUCGCUCCCGCGGGCGGCCAGGAGCGCACCCUAGCCGCCGCCCGAGCCACUCCCAGCCGCCCUUCCUCCCCUCGCCGCCGCCAGCAGGCGUCGCCGGGCAAAGCCCGCGCGGCGCGGCGGUGGCGGUGCCUUUUCCUCUUCCCGCUUGGGGUUGGACGGCGUGGGUCGGCCGCCACGGUGGGUGCUCUAUCCCGCUGCUCCCGCUGGAACUCGAAGCUUCGUGGCGCGGCUGCGCGGAGUUGCGGCGUCCGGGGGUGGAUGGAUGGGCGUGCUAGUGCACGUGGGCGUGGAUCCGACCGGGGCGGGCAUGGUGGCCUCCUGCCACGCGGAUCUGGUGGCUUGGCCCGUGUACGCCGGCGAGGUGCGCCGCGGGCGGAUCCAGGUCUCCUGGGCGCACUGGUGCGCGAGGGAGCUUCAAGGGCGCAGCUCUUGGCCAGAUGCGGGCGUGUGGUGGCGCGGGAAGCUGCUCAAGAGGCGCGGUGGUGCGGCCGGUGGGUCGCGCGAUGGCGUAGCGGGUGCCAGCGACGAGGACUUGCUGCCCGGAGGUCAUGCGGUGAUGAGGGGUGUGCAGCUGCUGCAGCAAGUUGGAUCUGGAGAGUGUGAUGGCGUGUGAUGCGCUGUGGUGCUCGGACGCCGGGGCGGCGGCUUCGGACCUUUUCUUCGGUGACGGCUGGUGUGGUGGCUACGUGGGUAGCGCCGGUUGGAGCUCGGGGGCAUCGGUAAUCCCCGGCAGUGCGUCAGCCCUCUGUCAUGUCAGGGACGCUUGACACUGGCCGGUGGGUUGGCUGGUGCUGUUGCGCGGGGUGCCAGAUGUGUCCAGGCGUGGCCGUUUCUGGCUCCUGUGGUGGUGAUGGGUAGCCUUGCCGGCGGCUCUACGUGGUGCAGGCGGCGGCGACGGGGCUGUUCUGAUCGGUGGCUUCGCGCUCUGGUGGCGGUUCAGGAUGGCGGUGGCUCUCAUGUGCCGGGUUGGGGGGAGAGCUUCCUUGGCUGCUCGGGGCGAAAGCCAUGCUCUUGCCAUGGCUGGGGCCGACGACGGCGAUGCCUGUGGGCGUCGCGCACCUUCUUGGAGGUGUCAUCAUUCGAGGGUCUACGGCCUCUUCUCUUGCACUCUGGGGGAAACCCUUGUUCCAGGUUCCUGGAGCGGACGAUGGCGGCUAUCGGGGAUAUACCCCGUGAUGUGACCCGGUCGGAGAUAUGACCCCGGCCGGGACUUGGUGUUUCAUUGGUGACCCGGCAGAUUGUAAGCCGACGGACAGUUAAGCAUUGUAAGCCGGCAGUUAGUUAAGCAGGUUAAGCCGGCGGACAGUUAAACAUUGUAAGCCGGCAGACUGUUAAACAGGUUAAGCCAGAUAGUUAAGCCAGCCAGUUAAGUCGGCCGACAGUUAAAUAUUGUAAGCCGGCAGACUGUUAAAUAGGUUAAGCCAGAUAGUUAAGCCAGACAGUUAAGUCAAACAGAUAAGCUAGACAGUUAAGUCAGACUGUAAGUCAGAUUGUAAGCCGGAUUACGUUAAGAAGCCCAAGACGUUAAGAAGCCCA